CAUCCUGUUGAUGCGUUUGUGUAGGUUUCAUUUACAGAAUCUAGAAGACCACCACAGGACACAUUUGAUGCAUCAAUUAAUCAGUUUUUUUCAAGGUUUUUAUUUAUUUAUUUAUUUAUUUUUUACUAUGUUCAUAUUUGUCAAGUUGAUUUCGAGACCAAAGCUCAUGGAAAAACCUUCAGAAGACCCUUGAAGAGCAACUAAACGACGAAAGGCUCUAUUGUCAUUAAUGAAGAUAGUUGCAAAGUGUGGUUUUGCCGGAAAUGACAGACACAGUGACAGAUAAGUUGGUUUUAAUGAAACAAAUUGCUUGAUCUGCUUUUAUGGCUAUUUAUUUAUUUAUUUAUUUAUUUAUUUAUUUUUUUAUAAAGCCUGUAAUAGGCAUGUAAUAAACGUGCUGUUACAAUCCUAGACAAUAUUAGUUUUUAAAUAAAAGUUUGUGACUCUGAUUCUCUUGUGAAAUAAUUAUCAUAUAUACGUUUAUUAUAUAGUUAAACAAUGUUUAAUUUAUAAAGUGGCACAAUUAUUUUUAAGUUACAUUAAACUUUUUUUUUUGGCCGUGUAUAUAUAUUUUUUCAUACGUAUUUAUUGGACCUUCGUUAGACAGCGCGCCCUCUUGUUGCCAUCUUUAAAAAAACUGCAAUCAUGGUACGUAUAAAUAUUGCUUAUGAACUCUUUCAUAUUUCCAUAAAAACCUGUUUUAGUACUCAGUCAUUACAAUUAAAGAUGAUCUGGAUAAUAAUGAGUAACUACUGAAGCUUUUAUUGUAACAAUGUAACAAUGGGAGCAGUGCUCCGUUUAGGUGGGUUCAAAUAUCAACAAAAGGCUAAUAGGCUGUUAGCUUAUUAGCCUUUCUGUAAAUCGUUGCGUGUUGCAUCUGUAGUUAGUCUAUAGAGUUUAUAAAUUGCUAAAAAAUCUUAAAUUUACUGUUAUUGUUAUUUACUAUUAUUUAUUAUUUAGUUUUUGUUGGCUUCUUGUUUUGGGCCCUUGUUCAUCUGUCAAGAUCAUCAAAUUGCUUAACUUGAGGCUUAUAAUGAGUAAUUUUGAAGAUUACAGUUUUGAUUAUUACAUUACAGCACAUACAGUAUAUCAGAGAUGUUUUAUGUACAACUUGUGGUGUAAUGGUUACAUUUCUAGUCUGGAAACCGAAAGUUUACAAACCCACAAGGCCCGAUCCACAAGCUAUCGUCAUUGCAUAUGAUAAACUAAAUAAUUAAUAUUUUGUUCGCUUGAAAAGUGGGUUUUUAGUGCCUUCAGGGCAGAGUCAUGACAGUUUAAACAUAUGUGACGUCUUCUGAAGAGUUCAAGUCUUCAUUAGGCCGGUCAAACUCCCUUAUAAUUCACACUAUGGAUAACUACUCCUGCUAACUACUGUUUUAUUUGCAUUUGUUUUCAGGGUGCAGUAUUCUGUAUCCCCCAUCAACCCACACUGGGUCAAAUGAAGACCUCUGUCCAGUGUGUGGAGAACCCUAAAGGAUUGGAUGGAGUGAUUAUAUACGACCAGAUGUUGUUCCCCAAGAACAAACAACACUUGGUGGCAGUUUGUGAUCAUAUAGAAGACUCCUACAACGGGAAAAGCUCCGUCAGACCAGUUCUGUUGUUCUGGCAGAUGAAGAAAGAGAAAUAAAGGCAUUUCACCACCAUUUGUGUCGUCUGUGUAUUUACAUAUAUUUGUUUUUACACAUUUGUAACAACGAAAUGGUUAUUUUGUACACACUUUAAUCAAGCAUGGCAAAAUGUUUUGAAACAUAAUUAAAAUGCACUUCAAAUUGAA